UACGUAGGGGGCGAGCGUUACCCGGAUUUACUGGGCGUAAAGCGCGUGUAGGCGGCUGGCCAAGCGUGGUGUGAAAUCUUCGGGCUUAACCCGAAAACUGCAUUGCGAACUGGUCUGGCUAGAGUGUGUGAGAGGGUAGUGGAAUUCCCGGUGUAGCGGUGAAAUGCGUAGAGAUCCCCAAGAACACCAGUUGCGAAGGCGGCUGACUGGACACAUAUUGACGCUGAGGCUCGAAAGCAUGGGGAGCAAACAGG
rnacentral:rRNA from 1 species